GCACAGCACUGCUAUGGGGGCAGCACUGCUAUGGGGGCAGCACUGCUAUGGGGUCAGCACUGCUAUGGGGUGAGCACAGCACUGCUAUG
rnacentral:lncRNA from 1 species